rnacentral:rRNA from 1 species
UGGUGGAGUGAUUUGUCUGGUUAAUUCCGUUAACGAACGAGACCUUAGCCUACUAAAUAGUCGGGCCAAAUACCGUUUGGCGGCGACUUCUUAGAGGGACUUUGCGAAAAAAGCGCAAGGAAGUUUGAGGCAAUAACA